AGGAACCUGUGAUGGUUAAAGACAGUUGGAAUGCGACUGUUAGUGACUGGAAGAUGUUCUUGGAUGCAGAGCGAUUGCACCUACCUCUAAACUUCUCAACCACCGAGCGGGGAGAAAAUGACAUCAGGAUUGCUGAAACGACUGCAAUCAUGGGAGAUGGUUUAAGACCUCGGCUUCCGUGACUCCCAUGACAAUGUCGCCUGGCUACAACCUGCCUCACAAGCAGAAGACGGGACAUUUGUCUGUUGCCCACCAGCACAUUUUCAGUCUGAUCCAUAUCAAGGAGCUGCACAGUCUCUGCAAAUGGCAGAAUCAGACUCACUCACAUCGCUCGGUGGCAGACAGGAAGUUCCGCUUCCUCAAAUCUUCUACUACUGGCCAUCAUGCAUGCAGAAGACAACUGGAGCGGAGGUUAAAAUAAGACGGAGGCAUAGUUUUUCUUAAGGCAGCGAAAUCCUUAACUCUCCCAAGUAGAACCUUGCAGCACGUCAGCAUAGAAUUAAACGGUUUCAUCCACAGUCACAGACUCUUGCCUUAAUUAUUUCACAUUAUCCGGUCCACAAGAGAGGAGCGAGACAGGCAUAUCACCUGAUCACCCACACCCUGUAAGCAAGCAACUUUGAUUAUCAAGCAAGCAACCAUGUCCACAAUCAAGAGAGAUUGUCAACUCUUCACUCUGCAUAACACCAUCACGUGGCUAACCUGUCUGCAAGCCCCAAGAAAGAGUUAAGAAACUUGGGCAAGCAACCUUUCUCUUUUCUGCACAGCUAGCUGAGCCCACACAGCACAAAAGAAAUACGAGACUCUCUGUUCCUUUCUUCUGUAUGAGCAUACCCUGCCAUCUCAGCUGCAAAGGAAAACUUUCAAGCCAUUCUCUUCUUCAUUUGCUGCAUAGACAGCACAAUCUCUUGUCAUUGCAUAGACAGCAGAAUAGCUUUGGAUACUCUUAAGAUGCUGCAGUAUGUUAUCAUCAGUCUCAUCUUUCUCAGGAAUCCACAGCUGAUCAGAAACCAGGAUCCUUGCAAUUAUGGAACUGGGUCCUUUUGACCCUUGAAGGGUUACUUUAAAGCUGCAUUUGUUUGCAAGCAUGAAGAUUGGGAACUAGAGUUGAACUAAAACUGCAUCUCAUUUUUAAUGAAUAUUUCUGGCAGUGUUGAAACAUGUCUCCUCCUCUGAUGGUUUUCUGACACUGUUUGAUGAACAUUCGCCUAUCCCCGACUUACAUGGCUCUCACUCGCUCUCACUCUCAAGUGACUUUACUUGCCCUCAGGUGAUAUAAUCCUGUAUUCUGAGCGGAUUGGCUGUGUGCCAGCCAAUUCACUACCUGAUCACAAAUGAGUGGGGCUCACCCAUGUGUUUGAUACAGGAAGCAGUAAUAAGGGAGGUGAGAAAUGGCAGAGAGAAACAACAGCACCUAGUGGAACUGGGGAGGAAAGGUGAAUAUUCUGGCCUUAUUUAGACAUUAUGAGCACUUCGAAAUGCCAAUUUGAAGCAAGUUCAGUGCUGAUUUCCACGGAGGAUGAUGCUGCCUGACUACAUAAUGCACGUGGAAAUCUGUGCUUUUCUGGCACAAAUGGCCCCCAAAUCUAUGCUAGAAGUGGAUAAAAGAGAUACAUGGUUUCGCUGCGUUGAAAGCAGGUUACCUGCCCUGCCUUGUCUCAUGGUGCUGAUAGCACGAGAGAGCUUCUUAAAGGAGGAGAUCCACUCUGCAUCUCUCUCGUUCUCCUGAGCAGUUCCCCAAAGAGCUUCAACCCUCUCUCCUGA